AUCCAGUUGAUGAGUCCCAAAUAGGACAAAACGCGCAUCCAAGAU
rfam:Schistosoma mansoni, Puerto Rico, WGS project CABG01000000 data, contig: 0010